rnacentral:rRNA from 1 species
UUGAGUGGGGGAUAACGUAGCGAAAGUUGCGCUAAUACCGCAUAUUCUGUGAGCAGGAAAGCAGGGGACCGCAAGGCCUUGCGCUCUUUGAGCGGCCGAUGUCAGAUUAGCUAGUUGGUGAGGUAAAGGCUUACCAAGGCGACGAUCUGUAGCGGGUCUGAGAGGAUGAUCCGCCACACUGGAACUGAGACACGGUCCAGACUCCUACGGGAGGCAGCAGUGGGGAAUUUUGGACAAUGGGGGCAACCCUGAUCCAGCCAUGCCGCGUGAGUGAAGAAGGCCUUCGGGUUGUAAAGCUCUUUCGGCCGGGAAGAAAUCGCAUGGGCCAAUACCCUGUGUGGAUGACGGUACCGGAAUAAGAAGCACCGGCUAACUACGUGCCAGCAGCCGCGGUAAUACGUAGGGUGCGAGCGUUAAUCGGAAUUACUGGGCGUAAAGCGUGCGCAGGCGGUUUUGUAAGACAGGCGUGAAAUCCCCGGGCUUAACCUGGGAACUGCGUUUGUGACUGCAAGGCUAGAGUACGGCAGAGGGGGGUGGAAUUCCACGUGUAGCAGUGAAAUGCGUAGAGAUGUGGAGGAACACCAAUGGCGAAGGCAGCCCCCUGGGUCGAUACUGACGCUCAUGCACGAAAGCGUGGGUAGGAAACAGGAUUAGAUACCCUGGUAGUCCACGCCCUAAACUAUGUCAACUAGGUGUUGGGUGGGUAAAACCAUUUAGUACCGUAGCUAACGCGUGAAGUUGACCGCCUGGGGAGUACGGCCGCAAGGUUAAAACUCAAAGGAAUUGACGGGGACCCGCACAAGCGGUGGAUGAUGUGGAUUAAUUCGAUGCAACGCGAAAAACCUUACCUACCCUUGACAUGCCAGGAACUUGCCAGAGAUGGCUUGGUGCCCGAAAGGGAGCCUGGACACAGGUGCUGCUUGGCUGUCGUCAGCUCGUGUCGUGAGAUGUUGGGUUAAGUCCCGCAACGAGCGCAACCCUUGUCGUUAAUUGCCAUCUUUUAGUUGGGCACUUUAACGAGACUGCCGGUGACAAACCGGAGGAAGGUGGGGAUGACGUCAAGUCCUCAUGGCCCUUAUGGGUAGGGCUUCACACGUCAUACAAUGGUCGGUACAAAGGGUUGCCAAGCCGCGAGGCGGAGCCAAUCCCAGAAAGCCGAUCGUAGUCCGGAUUGCAGGCUGCAACUCGCCUGCAUGAAGUCGGAAUCGCUAGUAAUCGUGGAUCAGCAUGUCACGGUGAAUACGUUCCCGGGUCUUGUACACACCGCCCGUCACACCAUGGGAGCGGGUUCCGCCAGAAGUAGGUAGCCUAACCGCAA